rnacentral:rRNA from 1 species
UAACACGUAAACAACCUGCCUUCAGGAUGGGGACAACAGACGGAAACGACUGCUAAUACCGAAUACACUUGGGAGACCGCAUGAUCUCCCAAGGAAAGGGUGGCCUCUACCUGUAAGCUAUCGCCUGAAGAGGGGUUUGCGUCUGAUUAGGCAGUUGGUGAGGUAACGGCCCACCAAACCUACGAUCAGUAGCCGGUCUGAGAGGAUGAACGGCCACACUGGAACUGAGACACGGUCCAG